AUCUACGGCCAAAUCACCCUGAAUGUGCCCAAUCUCAUCUGAUCUCAGAAGCCGAGAGGGUCAGACCUGGUAAGUACUUGGAUGGGAGACCACCUGGAAAUACCGGGUGCUGUAGGCU
rnacentral:rRNA from 1 species